GGAGAGGUUAGGAUGAUGAAGGAAAGGCAGAGUAAAUGCAUCCCUCUGUUGUGUAGCUUGGAGGGUGCCCAAUGGACUCUCCCCAUCACCAGUGCUUGCAGGACACGCACUGCACAGACCCUGCCAUAUGCAGUGGUGCAGAGGACAAGGAUGGGGUGUGCAGAGCGCAGCUUCCCCCUCCGGGCACCAUGGAGCUGGUGCUGGCUUUGCCCUGACCCAGCUGGUGCAAUGGAGCAGUCCCAGCGCAGGGUUACCUGCUCCUGAUGUUGGGCACUGCCUUUGGCCUCGCCGCUGCCCUGGCUCGUGUGGAAUCUGCUCGCAGGACAGCGUUAUUCUUGGUGCAAUGUGAGCUGAGCUGGCUGGAACACUGAGCUGCUGCUCUCCGGAAGGAUGAUGGACUUUGCAGCUGAAGCUAUGAACAAGCCAACAGAUUUGUAACAUAGGGGCCAAGGUACGCAGGGAGCCUGCUCAGGAGCUGCUCCAAAGAUGAUUUUGAUCUUAUAUGUCUUCUAAUCAAAAAUACAGUCUUGAACAGAAA